rnacentral:rRNA from 1 species
AACGAACGCUGGCGGCAUGCCUAACACAUGCAAGUCGAACGAGACCUUCGGGUCUAGUGGCUCACGGGUGCGUAACGCGUGGGAACCUGCCCUUAGGUUCGGAAUAACUCCCCGAAAGGGGUGCUAAUACCGGAUAAUGUCUUCGGACCAAAGAUUUAUCGCCUUUGGAUGGGCCCGCGUUGGAUUAGCUAGUUGGUAGGGUAAAAGCCUACCAAGGCGACGAUCCAUAGCUGGUCUGAGAGGAUGAUCAGCCACACUGGGACUGAGACACGGCCCAGACUCCUACGGGAGGCAGCAGUGGGGAAUAUGGGACAAGGGGCGAAAGCCUGAUCCAGCAAUGCCGGGUGAGUGAUGAAGGCCUUGGGGUUGUAAAGCUCUUUUACCCGGGAUGAUAAUGACAGUACCGGGAGAAUAAGCUCCGGCUAACUCCGU